UAUAUAACGUGAGGGGUUACUUCACCGCCCCACAAACUUCAGAGUGAAUUCAAUGGAUUCCGGUGAAAGUUUUCUCACGGAACAUCAGUCUCCUGUUGCUGCUACUAACUCUGAAGAAGUCCCCGAUCGUUUUGUUUGUUGCGUUUGUUUGGAUCUUCUUUACAAACCAAUCGUUCUGCAUUGUGGUCACAUAUCAUGUUUUUGGUGCGUUCAUAAAUCAAUGAGUUCUCGAUACGAGUCUCAUUGUCCAAUUUGUAGAAACCCAUAUUCUUGCUUUCCACGCAUUUGUCAAACGCUUCAGUUCUUGCUGUUGAAGUUAUAUCCCAUUGCAUAUAAGAAAAGGGAAGAUCAAAUUCUAGAAUUCAACGGUCAUGCACAUGAAGCAGAGGCUGGUGGAGAAUUUAAUUACCUCAGAAGUCCUGCACAUUCUUUUGCAUGUUCAGACUCUCCCUCUACUAGCAAAGAGAAACUUAGCAAACCAGCUGCACAAGUAGAGUCUCAUUAUAAUGGCACAACUUGGACCAAAGAAAAUUCUGAUGGAGAUCUUAAUCAGACAAAACCUAUUGCUGUGGAACAGAAGGAUCAGGUUUCAGUUGUGGAUUUGCUUUGUACUGCAUGCAAGCAAUGGCUUUUUUGUCCUGUUGUUCUUAACUGUGGCCAUGUUUAUUGUCAAACUUGCAUUAACAUCCCUGCUGAUACGAUGCUUAGAUGUCAAGUUUGUCAAUGUUUGCAUCCAAGGCAUUUUCCAGAAGUCUGCUUGACGCUUGAUCAGUUUUUGGUGGCUAAGUUUCCCAAAGAAUAUGCAUUGAGAAGAGACUCUGUUCAGCCCAAGCAAGUUUCUUCCAAGCAUGAGAGAGCAACCACCUGUUCCAUGGAAGCUGGUAAUCAAGACUUCUCACCUAUCCAGUUACCUUCAAAAGAUCAUCUGCCUUUCUCAGUGGAGCCUAGCGCAUAUACACAUAUAGGAGUUGGUUGUGAUGCUUGUGGGCAGAUGUCUCCAAUUGUUGGAGAUAGAUACAAAUGCAAGGAUUGUAUAGAGAAAGCAGGCUUUGACCUUUGUGGAGAUUGUUAUAAUACUCGACCUAAGCUUCCAGGCAGGUUCAAUCAGAGACACACCCCAGAGCACAAGUUUAAGCUUAUCAAGCGUGACUUUGUCUGAAGGUUGAGGCUGAUGACUGAACAACUAGAGAAUGUUUCUACUUCUUUUGUCAUCUUUGAUCAUGCCGCUGAAAAUUUGGGAAGUGCACCGGUACCUGUUGCUUUAUCUGGUGAUUCGCAGGACAAUACUAGCAAUAAUUUAGCUUCUCCGUUUAUUGACAAUGAUAGCAUGGAGGACCAAGAUGAUAUCCUAUUCACCAAUUGAAUACUGAAGCCGAAAAAAAUCCAUACAGUGAUUAUCUGGUGAUACAGACUGGUGGAUUACUUAUGGAUCAUGGUUCCUUAAGUAGUUCUGCAAAUUGGGGCUCCAAGAGGCAAGCUGCCUUUGGUAUGUGACUGCUCAACAACCUCUCUUGUCUGAAGCUGGGGUUUGUUUGUGAUUAAGUGACCUGAACCAUUUUUUCCAUGGUAUGUCAACCAACAUGUUUUCU